AUGGGUGGCAUGGGAUAUUUUGACACGGCCAAAAAUCUUGGAGGCCUUGGCUUUCGGGACAUGGAGGUUUUUAACCUUGCUUUAUUAGCAAGACAGGCAUGGAGGGUACUAUGUGAUCCCUCAUCACUUAGUGCACGAAUUUUGAAGGCAACUUACUUCCCUCAGACUUCUCCGAUGGAGGCGGAGCUUGGUAGCAGACCCUUGCAAAUUUGGCGAGCAGUCCUAGAUGGACGAGACAUGCUCAGGCAAGGCUUAAUACAGAGAAUAGGCAACGGGCAAACAACCGAAAAUUGGACACAAAACUGGUUGCCGCGUCCUGGUAUGAUGAGGCCUAUAGCACCACUAAUCCCCAACCCACCACAAUUGGUCUCAGAACUGAUAAAUGCGGCGACAGCAAACUGGAAUGAACAACUAGUUCGGGCGGUUUUCUUGCCAAUUGAUGCUGAAGAAAUCUUGGCAAUUCCCUUGUGUACACGGAAUCGAGAUGAUUUUUGGGCCUGGAGCGGAGAGAGAAGAGGUUCUUUCUCUGUCAAAUCAGCAUACAGACUUAUCAUGCACACAAAGAUCACGAGGGAGAACUAG
rnacentral:rRNA from 1 species